CAGUCAAGAAUAUUAGUCAAUGCUCGCAAGAGUGAACUAGCUAACUGAAAUCAUAUAAGUGUCUUAUGUGAUGWCGUAAGGGAAAAUAAUGAUAUUACCUUACUAAUAGUGUCGUCUAAAACUGGUGCCAGAAGACUCGGUAAGGCCAGAGACACAAAUGUUARUCGUCUUAAUCAGGCGUAAAGGGUUUGUAGGCUGCUUUGAAAGUAUUGAUUUWAAAU
rnacentral:rRNA from 1 species